AGUUUGAUCCUGGCUCAGAAUCAACGCUGGCGGCGCGCUUAGCACAUGCAAGUCGAACGAGAAAGGGGAGCAAUCCCUGAGUAAAGUGGCGCACGGGUGAGUAACACGUGGGUCAUGCACCUGUUAGUGGGGAAUAACCCUGGGAAACCGGGGCUACUACCGCAUAAGUCCGGAAGGAGAAAGCCGAAAGGCGCUGACAGAGCAGCCCGCGGCCGAUUAGCUAGUUGGUGGGGUAAUGGCCCACCAAGGCGACGAUCGGUAGCCGGCCUGAGAGGGCACACGGCCACACUGGCACUGAAACACGGGCCAGACUCCUACGGGAGGCAGCAGUGGGGAAUCUUGCACAAUGGGGGAAACCCUGAUGCAGCGACGCCGCGUGAGGAUGAAGCCCUUCGGGGUGUAAAGCUCUUUCGACAGGAACGAUCAUUACGGUACCUGAAGAAGAAGCUGCGGCUAACUACGUGCCAGCAUGCGCGGUAAUACGUAGGCAGCAAGCGUUGUUCGGAAUUACUUGGCGUAAUGUGUGCGUAGGCGGUUGGCUAAGUUUGGUGUGAAUCUCCCGGCUUAACUGAGAGGGUGCGCGAAAACUGGCUGGCUAGAGUGUGGAGGAGGAAAGUC
rnacentral:rRNA from 1 species